AGCCAGUAGUUCUACUCAUAGAGUAGAGCCUAGACUACAGUACCUACUAUUACAAUGCGGCGUACUUUUUUUUAGGCGAAUGGCAAUUGUUGUUGAUUGGUUGAACACGAGGUAGCCGUAUUAUAAUACAGCGCCGAUUUGCAAAGCGGCUAGCCUUAAUGUUUUACGGCGCUUUAUACAGUGUGAUGCGCCAGAUACAUAGCGUCGGGUAAAUUUGAAAACCUUAUAAAUUCUUUUCUCAGACGCUGGCGCUGGUGGCCGAAAAUGAAGUGAGUGCUGCACCAGCUCCCGUUCCUGUACCAUCUGAAGAAAAGAAAUCCGAAAAGAGUACAGAAAAACCGAACAAAGAGGAAAAGAAAAAGUCAUUUUUCAGUGACUUGUUCGGGGGCGCUGUACCAACCUCCGUUCCUGUACUGUCUGACGCUAUAAAAAAACUAGAACCGAAGAAAAAAGAAAUGGGGACAUUCGAGAAAAUUUACACCGACUGCAUAGAUUUUCUGCGGAAUUUCUUUACGCAUUUGUUCGUCCCAUCCUCACUGCAACCAGUUACUGACGCAACUAACGCACUCCCCUCAAGCAAAGAUAUUUCUAAAUUGAAACCCUCUGAA